rnacentral:rRNA from 1 species
UACGAAGGGGGCUAGCGUUGCUCGGAUUGACUGGGCGUAAAGGGCGCGUAGGCGGUUCGUACAGUCAGACGUGAAAUUCCUGGGCUCAACCUGGGGCUGCGUUUGAUACGUGCGGACUUGAGUGCGGAAGAGGGUCGUGGAAUUCCCAGUGUAGAGGUGAAAUUCGUAGAUAUUGGGAAGAACACCAGUGGCGAAGGCGGCUCACUGGAUCGGUACGUGACGCUGAGGUGCGAAAGCGUGGGGAGCAACAGGG